GAUGAAGAACGUAGCGAAAUGCGAUAAGUAGUGUGAAUUGCAGAAUUCAGUGAAUCAUCGAAUCUUUGAACGCACAUUGCGCCCCUUGGUAUUCCAUGGGGCAUGCCUGUUCGAGCGUCAUUUGUACCUUCAAGCUCUGCUUGGUGUUGGGUGUUUGUCUCGCCUCUGCGUGUAGACUCGCCUUAAAACAAUUGGCAGCCGGCGUAUUGAUUUCGGAGCGCAGUACAUCUCGCGCUUUGCACUCAUAACGACGACGUCCAAAAGUACAUUUUUACACUCUUGACCUCGGAUCAGGUAGGGAUACCCGCUGAACUUAAGCAUAUCAAAGCGGAGGA
rnacentral:misc_RNA from 1 species